GAUGAACGCUAGCGGGAGGCUUAAUACAUGCAAGUCGAGGGGUAACAGCAGAGCUUGCUCUGGCUGACGACCGGCGCACGGGUGAGUAACGCGUACACUACCUACCUCAUACUGAGGGAUAGCCCUGGGAAACCGGGAUUAAUACCUCAUGUGCUCUACGGAGUAAAGUUCCGGCGGUAUGAGAUGGGUGUGCGUAUGAUUAGCUAGUUGGUGAGGUAACGGCUCACCAAGGCGACGAUCAUUAGGGGGCGUGAGAGCGUGACCCCCCACACGGGUACUGAGACACGGACCCGACUCCUACGGGAGGCAGCAGUAAGGAAUAUUGGACAAUGGGGGCAACCCUGAUCCAGCCAUCCCGCGUGCAGGAUGACGGCCCUAUGGGUUGUAAACUGCUUUUAUUGGGGAAGAACUCCUUUCAUUUAUGAGAGGCUGACGGUACCCUAUGAAUAAGCACCGGCUAACUCCG
rnacentral:rRNA from 1 species